CCUACGGGUGGCAGCAGUGAGGAAUAUUGGUCAAUGGCCGUAAGGCUGAACCAGCCAAGUCGCGUGAAGGAAGCAGGAUCUAUGGUUUGUAAACUUCUUUUGUGCGGGAGCAAUAAUGGUCACGUGUGGCCAGACGAGAGUACCGUACGAAUAAGCAUCGGCUAACUCCGUGCCAGCAGCCGCGGUAAUACGGGGGAUGCAAGCGUUAUCCGGAUUUAUUGGGUUUAAAGGGUGCGUAGGCUGUGAGGUAAGUCAGCGGUGAAAUGCCCCCGCUCAACGGGGUGAAGUGCCAUUGAUACUGCCUUGCUGGAAUGCGGAUGCCGUGGGAGGAAUGUGUGGUGUAGCGGUGAAAUGCAUAGAUAUCACACAGAACACCGAUUGCGAAGGCAUCUCACGAAUCCGCGAUUGACGCUGAUGCACGAAAGCGUGGGUAUCAAACAGGAUUAGAUACCCUUGUAGUC
rnacentral:rRNA from 1 species